GAUCCUGGCUCAGAUUGAACGCUGGCGGCAUGCCUUACACAUGCAAGUCGAACGGUAACGCGGGGCAACCUGGCGACGAGUGGCGAACGGGUGAGUAAUAUAUCGGAACGUGCCCAGUAGUGGGGGAUAGCCCGGCGAAAGCCGGAUUAAUACCGCAUGAGACCUGAGGGUGAAAGCGGGGGAUCGCAAGACCUCGCGCUAUUGGAGCGGCCGAUAUCAGAUUAGGUAGUUGGUGGGGUAAAGGCCUACCAAGCCGACGAUCUGUAGCUGGUCUGAGAGGACGACCAGCCACACUGGGACUGAGACACGGCCCAGACUCCUACGGGAGGCAGCAGUGGGGAAUUUUGGACAAUGGGCGCAAGCCUGAUCCAGCCAUGCCGCGUGCGGGAAGAAGGCCUUCGGGUUGUAAACCGCUUUUGUCAGGGAAGAAAUCUUCUGGGUUAAUACCUCGGGAGGAUGACGGUACCUGAAGAAUAAGCACCGGCUAACUACG
rnacentral:rRNA from 1 species